rnacentral:rRNA from 1 species
CGAGGGGUAACAGGAGUAGCUUGCUAUUUGCUGACGACCGGCGCACGGGUGCGUAACGCGUAUAGAAUCUACCUUAUACUGGGGGAUAGCCUUUGGAAACGAAGAUUAAUACCCCAUAGUAUUAUUUUUUGGCAUCAUUAAAUAAUUAAAGUUUCGGCGGUAUAAGAUGACUAUGCGUUCUAUUAGUUAGUUGGUAAGGUAACGGCUUACCAAGACUUCGAUAGAUAGGGGUCCUGAGAGGGAGAUCCCCCACACUGGUACUGAGACACGGACCAGACUCCUACGGGAGGCAGCAGUGAGGAAUAUUGGACAAUGGAGGCAACUCUGAUCCAGCCAUGCCGCGUGUAGGAAGACUGCCCUAUGGGUUGUAAACUACUUUUAUAUGGGAAGAAUAAGAUCUACGUGUAGAUUGAUGACGGUACCAUAAGAAUAAGCACCGGCUAACUCCGUGCCAGCAGCCGCGGUAAUACGGAGGGUGCAAGCGUUAUCCGGAAUCAUUGGGUUUAAAGGGUCCGUAGGCGGGCAUAUAAGUCAGUGGUGAAAGUCUGUGGCUUAACCAUAGAAUUGCCAUUGAUACUGUAUGUCUUGAAUUAUUGUGAAGUGGUUAGAAUAUGUAGUGUAGCGGUGAAAUGCUUAGAGAUUACAUAGAAUACCGAUUGCGAAGGCAGAUCACUAACAAUAUAUUGACGCUGAUGGACGAAAGCGUAGGUAGCGAACAGGAUUAGAUACCCUGGUAGUCUACGCCGUAAACGAUGGAUACUAGUUGUUUGGUUUUCGGGACUGAGUGACUAAGCGAAAGUGAUAAGUAUCCCACCUGGGGGAGUACGUUCGCA